GACGAACGCUGGCGGCGUGCUUAACACAUGCAAGUCGAACGGAAAGGCCCUGCUUUUGUGGGGUGCUCGAGUGGCGAACGGGUGAGUAACACGUGAGUAACCUGCCCUUGACUUUGGGAUAACUUCAGGAAACUGGGGCUAAUACCGGAUAGGAGCUCCUGCUGCAUGGUGGGGGUUGGAAAGUUUCGGCGGUUGGGGAUGGACUCGCGGCUUAUCAGCUUGUUGGUGGGGUAGUGGCUUACCAAGGCUUUGACGGGUAGCCGGCCUGAGAGGGUGACCGGCCACAUUGGUACUAAGAGACGGCCCAGACUGCUACGGGAGGCAGCAGUGGGGAGUAUUGCACAAUGGGCGGAAGCCUGAUGCAGCAACGCCGCGUGCGGGAUGACGGCCUUCGGGUUGUAAACCGCUUUCGCCUGUGACGAAGCGUGAGUGACGGUAAUGAGUAAAGAAGCACCGGCUAACUACGUG
rnacentral:rRNA from 1 species